rnacentral:lncRNA from 1 species
AAAGAAGGGAAGAGCGCCGGGUAGAGCUCGGUCAGUGCUCGGAGGGGGACUGGCCUAGAGCGGUCACUAGAAAGGCGAGGACCCGCGAAACCGAAUAUACACAUUCCCAGCAGCUCUGUCUUUCCAGGCACGCGGAGUAAGUUGGCUGGAACUCCCCGUGACCGCUCAGCCGGGCGUGCAGGGCUGCAGCGGCGCAAAGCCUGUUCCAGAGCGGCCGCAGCGGCGCGGGCAGGAGGGGUACCCAGGUGGGGCCGCGCGCCCUCCGCGGGGGAUAGGUGAUCCCGCUCCCGAGUCCGAGAGGGAGCCAGGUGAGCGUCCGCCCGGGUCCGCCGGUGACCAGAUCCAACAGCACCGAAGGCAAGUUCUGGCUGCCAAGAAGGGAGCUGCAGGGUUGAAGCAUCCUCUCCCAGCCUCCUCCCACAGGACCAAGUCCUCACCAUCAGUUUUCUCUGUCUUUAAAAAACAACUUUUUUCUUUAUAUAUAUAUAUAUUUCAUUGAAGUAUAAUUGACUUACAAUGUUUCAAGUGCACAGCAAGGUGAUUCAGUUAUAAAUAUACACACAAUAUAAAUAUACAUAUAAAUAUACACAUAUAAAUAUAUACAUAUCAGAGAAGGCAAUGGCACCCCACUCCAGUACUUUUGCCUGGAAUAUCCCAUGGAUGGAGCCUGGUGGGCUGCAGUCCAUGGGGUCGCUAAGAGUUGGAUACAACUGAGUGACUUCACUUUCACUUUUCACUUUCAUGCAUUGGAGAAGGAAAUGGCAACCCAGUCCAGUGUUCUUACCUGGAGAAUCCCAGGGACGGGGGAGCCUGGUGGGCUGCCGUCUGUGGGGUUGCACAGAGUCGGACACGACUAAAGUGACUUAGAAGCAGCAGCAGCAUACACAUAUAUUAUUUUUCAGAUUAUUUUCCAUAAUAGGUUAUUAUAUGAUAUUGACUGCAGUUCCCUGUAAUAUACAGUAAACUUUUGUUGCUUGUUGCAUAUCUUUUUUUUUUAAUUAGAAAUCUAACAAGGUAUCAUUUAUAUGCCACAAAAAUAUCUGUUUUAAGUGUACAAUUCAAUGGUAUUUAGUACAUUUAAAGAGUUGUACAUAUCCUGUAAUCUAAUUUUAGAAUAUAUCCAUCAUCCCCCCCAGAAAGAAGCCUCCUGUGCAUUUGUGUUCAGACCCAAUUCUUACCCCCAGGCCCAGGCAACCACUGAUCUGCUUUCUGUCUGAACAGUUUUAUAUGCGGAUGAAACAGGGGAUGUCUUGCAAACAGUAUCUGCUGGGCACUUGGGAUGAAGCAAAACACAGACCAGUUGACUAUUUUUCAUAGUCUCAGAAAAAUAAAAAAAUUCAGUAACUUUAAGGUAUAAUAAUU